UACGUAGGUGGCAAGCGUUGUUCGAAAUUAUUGGGCGUAAAGGGCGCGUAGGCGGUUUGUUAAGUCGGUCGUGAAAGCCCGGGGCUCAACCCAGGAACUGCGUCCGAUACCGGUUGGCUUGAAUCCGGGAGAGGGAUGUGGAAUUCCAGGUGUAGCGGUGAAAUGCGUAGAUAUCUGGAGGAACACCGGUGGCGAAGGCGACAUCCUGGACCGGUAUUGACGCUGAGGCGCGAAAGCCAGGGGAGCCAA
rnacentral:rRNA from 1 species